CAACCCUCGCGCCGUCCCUCCAGGGGGCUCGGCGCGGUGUUGGGGGACACGGCCCCGGCCGCCCCCGAAAUGCAGUGGCGACCCCGCCGCGGCCCCUCCAGCGCAGUAAGCACGCUCGCUACGGGAGGCCCGGUGGACGCGUCCGCCGUAAAACGCCCAACUCUUCAGAAG
rnacentral:misc_RNA from 1 species